AGAUGUGGCCUAGUUGUUAAGGACUCUAGACGUGUUCAGCGGGGAGGUAAUAAAUGUUGAGUGUGAUCCGUUUUAAACAUUCUUUUGGCUACUGGUUAAUAUACUGAAAUUUUCCAUUUUUUUUCGUACCAACCUGAGGUACAAUUUUUCACGACACAAACGAUUGUUUGAAAGUUGAUUUUUCACUAGACGUUAUUUGAAUGUGCAGUUCCUAUCCGCAGCCCUGCAGUGUGCAAAAAUAGGCAGUGGGAAAAAUCUGCUCUUAGUGCUGAUCUGCACAAUGCUGGUUUCAUGUAAGCUAUCUUGAAAUGACCUAUCAACAGACUACACCAUAUAUUAAAAGACUCUUCCCUUAAGGACACUUGUAGCUGUGGACUUUCUUUAGAUGAGUCUUUUAUCAUAAAUAUUUUUCUCUUCUUGGAACAAGGAACAUAGGUUGUUUUGAUGCCAACCAUGUAUUGUUGGAAAUAUUCUAAAAAGAUGUUCAAGCAGGAAAAACCUAAAGUUGGAGGUUGAUACAUUUGUUUCUCGUUACUAGUUUGGUAAUUUGUAAAAUGAAACAACACAUGAUCUAUUACUUUAAAUCAAUUAUUUUCACAAGUGGAGAUCGAUUCCACAAUCUUCAACUUUUCAGGCAGACACCCAUCCACAAAGCCAUGGGCAAUCCAUACAGGGUGACGACUCGUCGCCGAGUGCAGACCAUCCAUAUUGAUAACGGUUUCCUGCGUAAAGAUGAAUCUGUGUAGGUCGUCAAUAGUAUACAGUAAUACGGGAUCAUUUACGCCGAAGAACUGUUCAUGGAAGAUGAUUUCGGUGAGACGCAAGUGCUGAUUCGUUUGAUGGUCGAUUACGCCAACAUGGCAGCCAAAGGAACCUGUCUUGCUCAAUCGGAUUGAAAUCGCGAUGUCGAAAGAAGAGCGUCUUCUUCUGGAAGAAUUGCCCAUUCGCAACCAUUAUGUUGCCACGCUAAACUGCCUAUUCGCAUUGUCGGUAUUCAGGGAGAUUGCCGAACUUAAAGCUAUUGCACUGAGCUCUGAUCAGACACAAACAAACUGGAAUGAUUUAGCCACCUACGCCCACUUAAUACCGCGUGUGUGCCAAAAUGUCAGUCGUGUUUGCUACAUAUUCGGAAAAGCUGUGCGUGAAUCGGUGACAGCCGUUCCACCAACCUACUUAACGAGUAACAUUUUGACGAUUUUGAGGGAAGCGGAUUAUUUGGCAAAUAAAUAUUAAGGGAUUCGGAAUAAGAAGAAAGAAAGAGAAGCUAGCCCAGAUCCCAAUCGUCUUGAUCCCUCUCACUUUGAUCGCGAUACGAGUCAACGCAUUCUAUCAUGCCAGCGAUCAGACGUUUUUCAACCAUUCUUUUCAUAGGAUUUUAUGACUGGACUUCCUGCGAUUCCUGAUACCAAUUUAUCUGAAGAGGUUGUAGACAAGAUGGUUGAAGCCGUCUUAACUGUUCCAGGGACCUGACGGCGAAACCACCCGGGACAACGGAGUGGGAAUGAUUUGAUUUACGAACGUUGCUUAGGCAAAUGAUCUCCGCGCUCUUUAUAGGAUAAGGAUACGGAGUUUUAUCAUUGACCAGAUUUAGAUGGGAGAUAUUAUGAACAGUGGAUUCAGUAUAAACUUUUGAAAUUGAAAAUCAAUCAGCUUUGUCGUCUCGUGAAAAUCUCUUCAACUCGCUUUUAAAGAGGAGUUCACGUGAUGACUUGUUGACUAUUCCUUAAAAUUACAUGCACAUUUGUUGAAAAUAACGAGUGCAGUUGUUUUUCGUCUAACAAAUUAACAUAGUUAAUGUAUAGCUAGGUGGGUUGUUGUUGCUCUCCCUUGUAAAUCUACCCUUUUCGACCAAUUGUUAAUCUAAUUCUUUUGGGAACGUCCCGUUGUCUCCCAAAAACAAGUGGAAGGCCAUUCGAGGCGUUAUGCCAUUUCCUGAAAUUGAACAUUUUGAAAAUGUGGUAUAUGUUCGCCAAUUGUUUAGAUUUAUUCAGAGUGGUACCAGAAAGUAUGACUGUAGGAAAGGGUACGUAGGCUUCUAAAAGUGAAGAACAGCUCUGACGUCUUUAGUAAACAGAAAAGGAAUGCAAAGUAAAGCGUCACAUGACGAUUUUAAGGAUGGACCCUUUCGUUUGCUUUGCCCAAUGAAUCUGUGCUUGGAACUGGCAGGUGGCGUUUAGCAGUGGCACCCAAUCUUUGUUCUUAAAAGCCAGAGGUGUCUUCACGUUUCAGGGGGAUUGAUUGAUGAUACCUGUAAGUUAAACCGUGAAGAAUACCAAUAGAUGGAUAGGUGGAGGGUGAGCAGACGAACCAUUUAAAGAGUCCUGCGCAGUCUAGCUGCAUCCAGCCAGAUACUAGUAGAACCCGAAACAUUGUUUUGACAAGUUCUGUCAUAUUUCGGUUGCAGGAAUUCACUAAAUAAAAAUUAAGUAAGGGGUUUAAUCUUGUUAAAUGUAGGAUUUUUCGAUUCAAGUCUAUUUAGGUGUCAGAACUGGAAUUGUACUUUUAGAAUUUUUCAAACAUCGCACAGCUUUUAUUAACAACAUUUUAGUUAUUCAACUAUCAAAAUCUGGUUAAUCAUUUAAAGGAGAAGGAGAACAGAGCUCAUUUUUUAAAUUUCCGAAAUUUCGACUUCCGGUUUCUAAAUGCCAAAUAACUCUUUAUUUGUUGGUCUGUCAGAAAAAAGAUCUACAUUUUCGUGAUCCUCAUCAAAUUUGGGGUCGAUUCCUUGUGUCAGCUCAAAAUACCCGAAAAUUGUCAAAAAUCGCAAAUUUUGGAAAAAUCGCGAUUUUGGUAAAAUCUGACUUUUGACUAAAAACACGUCAUUCCGACCCCAAAUUUGAUAAGAAUCCCGAAAAUCCUACUCGUUUUGUUAUAGGAUCCUUAUUUCCGGAGAUAUUGGCUACUUCUGGUUACUUCCGGGAAUUUUUAUUGACAAUCUGCAAAAAGUAAAAAAUGAGCUGUAUUGUUCUAACAAUUUCAAAUACUUUUCUCGCAUGCGUUAGUGAGUGGUAGCUAUUAUUCCGUGUUUUUCUUGCUUUCAACACUACAGACUGAUGCUACGAGCUAUGACAAGUUUUACCUACAAAUGUUUAGCGUUUCAUGCUGCAACUAGUAGUUGAUAUCCUAGGAUGUUAUGCCUAAAAUUGGAAUUCAGCUAUCAGUGAUUAGCAAAAUUCAAGCACUUAUAAGUGGAAACUCUAGAUGGCGUUGAUGUGCGUCUAUAAUGAAGAUUAUGAGUGACAAGUUAAAUGGGUGUUUGUUACGUUACUCUGUUUUGUGUUUCAAAGGAUUUUUCAUUUUAAAAAAUUUCAGUGGUGUUUCACCUUGCCAGCUGCUGAACCAGCAGCCUACAUUCCUGCCAUCAAUGUACCACAAGAGAUUCUGACACUUUAAGAAGGCCACUAUUCCUUAAAUGAAGAUCAGCAUCCAGUUCAAGUACUAUUAAUGGACCUCAAGCCUUUUGUUUAAGCUUAGUGGUGUGUUCUCUCAUCAGUCAACCACAGAGUCUUCGUCUACUUUGUGUUGCUAACCAUCAGCCCUCAGCAUCACAGGUAUCCAGAUUUCCAAGCUUCUCUGAUUAGCCAACUAUCAUCUAUACACUUCAGCUUGUGGCUUCUCUUCCUCUCUUCUUGGUCUGCCAAAUGAGCAACAUGGAAUAAGUUUCACCAUCAUUGCAUUACCAUGAAAACUGUCAUUGUUAAUCCUGCUGUUCCUCUCACCAUUACUUAGCCAGCUAACAUGGGUAGGCUUUAACACCAUCUCCAUUUUUUGGACUGCAAAUGUUCAUCUGCCUUCGGUACAACACUGCCUUUUCGACUAUUUCGGUAGUUUCGCUCCCAGUGGACCACGCGCCUUCACCUCAACGCUGUCUUCGUCGACGUCUUCACCUUCAUCUCCGUCUCGUCAUAGCCGUCUUCGUCUUCAUCUCCGUCUCGUCGUCUUCGCCUUCGCCUUCAUCUCCGUCUCCGUCUCGUCGUGGCCAUCGUCUUGGCCGUCUUUGUCCACGCCAUCAUCUCGUCACCGGCUUCGCCUUCGCCUUUCACGUAGGGAGUUCAGCGUGGAUCGUCGCCUUGGUAUUGUUUUAUUUUGCAUUUUAAGUGUUGUGUGUUGUUUAAGUUAACCCGUUGGCUGCCACCCCGUUUGCGUCCCAUUUUUUUUGUAGCUUUAGGGACCGGCCGCAAUGGCCUUCGCCGCAAGGC